UACAGAGGUCUCAAGCGUUGUCCGGAAUCAUUGGGCGUAAAGGGCGCGUAGGUGGCCCGGUCAGUUCGUGGUGAAAGCGCGGGGCUCAACCCUGCGUCGGCCAUGAAUACUGCCGCGGCUGGAGCACUGUAGAGGCAGGCGGAAUUCCGGGUGUAGCGGUGGAAUGCGUAGAGAUCCGGAAGAACACCGGUGGCGAAGGCGGCCUGCUGGGCAGUUGCUGACACUGAGGCGCGACAGCGUGGGGAGCAAACAGG
rnacentral:rRNA from 1 species